GUGGGGAAUUUUGGACAAUGGGCGCAAGCCUGAUCCAGCAAUGCCGCGUGCAGGAAGAAGGCCUUCGGGUUGUAAACUGCUUAUGUACGGAACGAAACGGUCCGGGUUAAUACCCUGGGCUAAUGACGGUACCGUAAGAAUAAGCACCGGCUAACUACGUGCCAGCAGCCGCGGUAAUACGUAGGGUGCAAGCGUUAAUCGGAAUUACUGGGCGUAAAGCGUGCGCAGGCGGUGUUGUAAGACAGGCGUGAAAUCCCCGGGAUCAACCUGGGAAUUGUGCUUGUGACUGGAAGGCUGGAGUGCGGCAGAGGGGGAUGGAAUUCCGCGUGUAGCAGUGAAAUGCGUAGAUAUGCGGAGGAACACCGAUGGCGAAGGCAAUCCCCUGGGCCUGCACUGACGCUCAUGCACGAAAGCGUGGGGAGCAAACAGGAUUAGAUACCCGAGUAGUCC
rnacentral:rRNA from 1 species